rnacentral:rRNA from 1 species
ACAGGAUUCCCCUAGUAACGGCGAGUGAAGCGGGAAGAGCUCAAGCUUAAAAUCUCCGUGCAAGUUUUGCGCGGCGAAUUGUAGUCUAUAGAGGCGUGGUCAGCGUGGGCGCUUGGGGCAAGUUCCUUGGAAGAGGACAGCAUGGAGGGUGAUACUCCCGUUCAUCCCUGAGUGGCUCGUGCGUACGACCCGUGUUCUUUGAGUCGCGUUGUUUGGGAAUGCAGCGCAAAGUAGGUGGUAAAUUCCAUCUAAAGCUAAAUAUUGGUGCGAGACCGAUAGCGAACAAGUACCGUGAGGGAAAGAUGAAAAGAACUUUGAAAAGAGAGUUAAAGAGUACCUGAAACUGCUGAAAGGGAACCGAAUCGUUUCCAGUGUCUAUAAUCCGUGGCAUAUUUCAUUGGCGAGUGUGCGCGUGCGUGUGCUGUGGCAGCGGCCUUUUUGGCUGCGCUCGGUGCGUGUGCUGUGUGUGCUUGCUGGUGCCCUGUGCUGCGGUGGGACGUCAAGGUCAGUUCGUAUGCUGCGGGAAAUGGCUGCCGAGGAGGUAGGGCUUACGCUCCGCGUUUGUCUGUUAUAUCUUGGUGGACGAGUCGUCGCGGUUGGGACUGAGGUGCCUACAACGUGCUUUUGAGUGGGUCUGUGUCUCCGUGUGCGCCGUGUGCGGAUAGCUUGCUAUGCGUGUGUGGUUGUGUGUGGAUUGAUGCGGGCCUUAACUUGUCGCCGUUCGGGACGUUGACGAAAUGGAGCGAUCCGACCCGUCUUGAAACACGGACCAAGGAGUCUAACAUGUGUGCAAGUGUUAGGGUGUGGAAACCCCAGCGCGAAAUGAAAGUGAAGGGCAGCGCAAGUUGUCUGAGGUAGGAAACGUUGCGGGCUUCGGUCUGCGGCGUGGCACUAUCGACCGAUCAUGAACCUUCGUGGUGAAAGAUUUGAGUUUGAGCACAUAUGUUGGUACCCGAAAGAUGGUGAACUAUGCCUGAGUAGGGUGAAGCCAGGGAAACUCU